UACAGGGGGUGCAAACGUUGCUCGGAAUUAUUGGGCGUAAAGCGCACGUAGGCGGUUUGUUAUGUCGGAUGUAAAAGCCCUUGGCUCAACUGAGGAAGUGCAUCCGAAACUGGCAAGCUAGAGUAUGUAAGAGGGUCGCGGAAUUCCCGGUGUAGAGGUGAAAUUCGUAGAUAUCGGGAGGAACACCGGUGGCGAAGGCGGCGACCUGGGACAAUACUGACGCUGAGGUGCGAAAGCGUGGGGAGCAAACAGG
rnacentral:rRNA from 1 species